rnacentral:rRNA from 1 species
UUUGGUUAAGUUAGAAAGGGCGCACGGUGGAUGCCUUGACACUAGGAGUCGAUGAAGGACGGGACUAACGCCGAUAUGCUUCGGGGAGCUGUAAGUAAGCUUUGAUCCGAAGAUUUCCGAAUGGGGAAACCCACCAUACGUAAUGGUAUGGUAUCCUUAUCUGAAUACAUAGGGUAAGGAAGACAGACCCAGGGAACUGAAACAUCUAAGUACCUGGAGGAAGAGAAAGCAAAUGCGAUUUCCUGAGUAGCGGCGAGCGAAACGGAACAUAGCCCAAACCAAGAGGCUUGCCUCUUGGGGUUGUAGGACAUUCUAUACGGAGUUACAAAGGAACGAGGUAGACGAAGCGACCUGGAAAGGUCCGUCGUAGAGGGUAACAACCCCGUAGUCGAAACUUCGUUCUCUCUUGAAUGUAUCCUGAGUACGGCGGAACACGUGAAAUUCCGUCGGAAUCUGGGAGGACCAUCUCCCAAGGCUAAAUACUCCCUAGUGAUCGAUAGUGAACCAGUACCGUGAGGGAAAGGUGAAAAGCACCCCGGAAGGGGAGUGAAAGAGAUCCUGAAACCGUGUGCCUACAAAUAGUCAGAGCCCGUUAAUGGGUGAUGGCGUGCCUUUUGUAGAAUGAACCGGCGAGUUACGAUCCCGUGCGAGGUUAAGCUGAAGAGGCGGAGCCGCAGCGAAAGCGAGUCUGAAUAGGGCGUUUAGUACGUGGUCGUAGACCCGAAACCAGGUGAUCUACCCAUGUCCAGGGUGAAGUUCAGGUAACACUGAAUGGAGGCCCGAACCCACGCACGUUGAAAAGUGCGGGGAUGAGGUGUGGGUAGCGGAGAAAUUCCAAUCGAACCUGGAGAUAGCUGGUUCUCCCCGAAAUAGCUUUAGGGCUAGCCUUAAGUGUAAGAGUCUUGGAGGUAGAGCACUGAUUGGACUAGGGGUCCUCAUCGGAUUACCGAAUUCAGUCAAACUCCGAAUGCCAAUGACUUAUCCUUAGGAGUCAGACUGCGAGUGAUAAGAUCCGUAGUCAAAAGGGAAACAGCCCAGACCGCCAGCUAAGGUCCCAAAGUGUGUAUUAAGUGGAAAAGGAUGUGGAGUUGCUUAGACAACUAGGAUGUUGGCUUAGAAGCAGCCACCAUUUAAAGAGUGCGUAAUAGCUCACUAGUCGAGUGACUCUGCGCCGAAAAUGUACCGGGGCUAAAUACACCACCGAAGCUGCGGAUUGAUACCAAUGGUAUCAGUGGUAGGGGAGCGUUCUAAGGACAGUGAAGUCAGACCGGAAGGACUGGUGGAGUGCUUAGAAGUGAGAAUGCCGGUAUGAGUAGCGAAAGACGGGUGAGAAUCCCGUCCACCGAAUGCCUAAGGUUUCCUGAGGAAGGCUCGUCCGCUCAGGGUUAGUCAGGACCUAAGCCGAGGCCGACAGGCGUAGGCGAUGGACAACAGGUUGAUAUUCCUGUACCACCUCUUUAUCGUUUGAGCAAUGGAGGGACGCAGAAGGAUAGAAGAAGCGUGCGAUUGGUUGUGCACGUCCAAGCAGUUAGGCUGAUAAGUAGGCAAAUCCGCUUAUCGUGAAGGCUGAGCUGUGAUGGGGAAGCUCCUUAUGGAGCGAAGUCUUUGAUUCCCCGCUGCCAAGAAAAGCUUCUAGCGAGAUAAAAGGUGCCUGUACCGCAAACCGACACAGGUAGGCGAGGAGAGAAUCCUAAGGUGUGCGAGAGAACUCUGGUUAAGGAACUCGGCAAAAUGACCCCGUAACUUCGGGAGAAGGGGUGCUUUCUUAACGGAAAGCCGCAGUGAAUAGGCCCAAGCGACUGUUUAGCAAAAACACAGCUCUCUGCGAAGCCGUAAGGCGAAGUAUAGGGGGUGACACCUGCCCGGUGCUGGAAGGUUAAGGAGAGGGGUUAGCGUAAGCGAAGCUCUGAACUGAAGCCCCAGUAAACGGCGGCCGUAACUAUAACGGUCCUAAGGUAGCGAAAUUCCUUGUCGGGUAAGUUCCGACCCGCACGAAAGGUGUAACGAUUUGGGCACUGUCUCAACCAGAGACUCGGUGAAAUUAUAGUACCUGUGAAGAUGCAGGUUACCCGCGACAGGACGGAAAGACCCCGUGGAGCUUUACUGUAGCCUGAUAUUGAAUUUUGGUACAGUUUGUACAGGAUAGGCGGGAGCCUUUGAAACCGGAGCGCUAGCUUCGGUGGAGGCGCUGGUGGGAUACCGCCCUGACUGUAUUGAAAUUCUAACCUACGGGUCUUAUCGACCCGGGAGACAGUGUCAGGUGGGCAGUUUGACUGGGGCGGUCGCCUCCUAAAGUGUAACGGAGGCGCCCAAAGGUUCCCUCAGAAUGGUUGGAAAUCAUUCGUAGAGUGCAAAGGCAUAAGGGAGCUUGACUGCGAGACCUACAAGUCGAGCAGGGACGAAAGUCGGGCUUAGUGAUCCGGUGGUUCCGCAUGGAAGGGCCAUCGCUCAACGGAUAAAAGCUACCCCGGGGAUAACAGGCUUAUCUCCCCAAGAGUCCACAUCGACGGGGAGGUUUGGCACCUCGAUGUCGGCUCAUCGCAUCCUGGGGCUGUAGUCGGUCCCAAGGGUUGGGCUGUUCGCCCAUUAAAGCGGUACGCGAGCUGGGUUCAGAACGUCGUGAGACAGUUCGGUCCCUAUCCGUCGUGGGCGUAGGAAAUUUGAGAGGAGCUGUCCUUAGUACGAGAGGACCGGGAUGGACGCACCGCUGGUGUACCAGUUGUUCUGCCAAGGGCAUAGCUGGGUAGCUAUGUGCGGAAGGGAUAAGUGCUGAAAGCAUCUAAGCAUGAAGCCCCCCUCAAGAUGAGAUUUCCCAUAGCGUAAGCUAGUAAGAUCCCUGAAAGAUGAUCAGGUUGAUAGGUUCGAGGUGGAAGCAUGGUGACAUGUGGAGCUGACGAAUACUAAUAGAUCGAGGACUUAACCAUAUAA